UACGUAGGGUGCAAGCGUUAAUCGGAAUUACUGGGCGUAAAGCGUGCGCAAACGGCUAUGCAAGACAGAUGUGAAAUCCCCAGGCUCAACCUGGGAACUGCAUUUGUGACUGCAUGGCUAGAGUACGGUAGAGGGGGAUGGAAUUCCGCGUGUAGCAGUGAAAUGCGUAGAUAUGCGGAGGAACACCGAUGGCGAAGGCAAUCCCCUGGACCUGUACUGACGCUCAUGCACGAAAACGUGGAAAGCAAAC
rnacentral:rRNA from 1 species